UACAUACAUACAUACAUACAUACAUACAUACAUACAUACAUACAUACAUACAUACAUACAUACAUACAUACAUACAUACAUACAUACAUACAUACAUACAUACAUACAUACAUACAUACAUACAUUCAUACAAAUUGUGUUUUAUUUCAUUCACACAUAAUGUUUAACACAAAUCCUUUACAUUUAGACUGAGGUCUUCUCUCAAACAGAAAACUCUGUUUCACCUUGUGAUGUCAUGUGGUAAUACCAAACAUGCUCCACUGUGUUUUUAAACUCCAUACAGCUUGACUAGAAUCAUUUGGAUACCUUCAGCCCUGAAAUUGCACAUCACAACUGAACAAAAAGUAAAAGGUAUCACUACAUGACAUCACAAGGUGGAACAGAGCAUUUUGAGCUUUGCUGAUGUAGACAGAUUAUUAUUAUUAAAGGAUUACUCAAACACCCUGGGCCUUUCUGUGUAGAGUUUACGUGUUUCUCCCUGUGUCUGGAUGGGUUUCCUCCGGGCGCUCCGGUUUCCCCCAUCAACCCAAGAAUAGCUGAUAGCCAAGGUCAGUUAAAUACAAUCAAUCACUGAAACUGCCCAGGGACUACAGGUGGAAAUUAGCACUGGUGCUACAACCUGGUACAAUGCAUCUCUCCUGUUAAGGUUAAUGUAAGAAUUAUGUGCUGUCCCUGUCUCAAAAAAAACACAAAAACAGUACAGUGCAUUGAAAUGCAGUUUGUUCAUCUGACCAGUGUGUGUGUGUGUGUGUGUGUGUGUGUGUGUGUGUAUUGUUUCUACCUAAAAGGUAUAUUGUAAAAGCAGAACAUUUUUUGCUCUCUGUAGAUAACAAUAAACUAUUUUUCUUUAACUCAGAAGUAAGAAGUGAAAGCACCAUUAACUGUUCCACUUUGUUUCACUUUGCUGUCUAAUAAAAGUCAUUGUGAAAUCUAGGGCGAGUUAGACAGACUUAAAUACCCCCUUCCUCUUCCUCUUCUCCUUCCUCCUUUCACACUCACUUUUGAGAAGCAGUUUUUGUUACACAAGAGAACCCCGCAAAUGGAAAUGGCAGAGUGCUUUCCAGCACAGAUUGAACAGCAGGAUUAAAGCACCUGAUCAACAACAGUGUACACUGCUGACGCACGGACACUGUAGUGUCCCUGUAGGGACAGCAACUGCUGAAACUUUAUUCAACAGUUUGAACCUUGAAAGAGUUUCUGUUAGAUAAAAACUGAUGGAAUUUGUCAAUGUUCCAGUGAUAAUGAAAGCCACAUGAAUCAAAGGCAGACCUGAAAUUUGAAAUGUUGUUUUGUGUUUGUUGCUCUAAGUCCCUCCUCCACUUGCUAUUCAAAUCAAGUCACUCCCCCUUUUAUAAUGGAACUACUUCCAUCACAUCAGGUUUGUGAAAUUGUUGUGUAUUGUUUUGUAUCAUGCUUUUGUAUAUUUAUUUCUAUAAUCUUAUUAAUUAAUUUAUUUAUUUAAAGCAUACAUACAUUUUAAACAUUUUAAAAUGCAAGAUAACAGGUGCAAAACAUUAGUCACAAGACCUGUUCAUUCAAAUGAUAAAGUAAAAAUAAAAAGUCAUUGGCCCUUUUGAAAAACAAUAAUGAUAACUGAACUUUCAUUUGUCUAAGGAGAUACUGAAAAUGAUUCUUGUUAGGUCUGUUGUAGCAUGCACCUCUCAGAGUGAUGUAAUGUACUGCUGAAUGCCACUAUCUACUUAGAAACGAGAAAUGAGGAACCAGAAAAAACCACAUGAGAAACACAUAUGUAAUAUGUUUCUCACAAGUAAUGCAUCAAAGAUCUGUGCUGUAGAGCUCCAGCUCACAUUUAUAUCAGACCUGAGUCUGCAGAGAGAAGAUGGAGGAGCACAGGGUUCAUGUCAAAAGGAACAGGAGAAACUCUGGAAGUGUCUCUGAUUCACAGACUGCCACCGAACCAGGGAAAUGGAUUCUCCUGGUCUGCAUCAGCUUUGGUCUUCUGUGCAUCAUACAAGCUUCUCUCAAUGUUUAUUUACGUCUCUACCUUCCUCCAGACAUCGACAUGAGCCCAUGUGACAAUGUAACUGCUGAGAGGGACACACUUGAGAAAUUUCUUCAAACUAGUCGUCAAGACCUGUCGAAGCAAACUGAUGAGCUGCAGAAAAGCCAUUCUU